rnacentral:rRNA from 1 species
GACGAACGCUGGCGGCGUGCUUAACACAUGCAAGUCGAACGGAAAGGCCCUGCUUGCAGGGUACUCGAGUGGCGAACGGGUGAGUAACACGUGGGUGAUCUGCCCUGCACUUCGGGAUAAGCCUGGGCAACUGGGUCUAAUACCGGAUAGGAGCCAUUUUUAGUGUGAUGGUUGGAAAGUUUUUUCGGUGUAGGAUGAGCUCGCGGCCUAUCAGCUUGUUGGUGGGGUAAUGGCCUACCAAGGCGGCGACGGGUAGCCGGCCUGAGAGGGUGGACGGCCACAUUGGGACUGAGAUACGGCCCAGACUCCUACGGGAGGCAGCAGUGGGGAAUAUUGCACAAGGGGCGCAAGCCUGAUGCAGCGACGCCGCGUGGGGGAUGACGGCCUUCGGGUUGUAAACUCCUUUCGCUAGGGACGAAGCUUUUUGUGACGGUACCUAGAUAAGAAGCACCGGCUAACUACGUG